rnacentral:rRNA from 1 species
CCCCAGCGCCGCAAGUGGGAACCGCUUUUAUUGGGUCUAAAGCACCCGUAGCCGGCUUGUAAAAUGUUCUGUGAAAUCGUGUGGCUUAACCUCACGACGUGCAGAGCACACUGACAAGCUAGAGACCAAGAGAGGCGUUCAGUAUUCCACGGGGAGCGGUAAAAUGUGAUAAUCCGUGGAGGACUACCAAUGGCGAAGGCAGAACGCUAGAAUGGAUCUGACGGUGAGGGGUGAAAGCUAGGGGAGCGAUUCG